CCAUCCCCCAGACCAAGAAGGGAAAUCCUCCUACUGCAUAUAGCAGAACUCCAAAGGCAAUGGGAUGAAGAAUGUAUGUUUUUUGGAUGAACUUGUAGAAGGGUUGCUUCUGCAAAUCCCCAACAUUGCUUGGAUCUCCACACCUUUCAAUAACAGAAUUGGUAUCAAAGAGCCAACUCAUAUGACUAUACCAAAACCCUUCAAGGGGGCUAUGAGGGUCUCUCUCAG
rnacentral:misc_RNA from 1 species